rnacentral:rRNA from 1 species
GAUUUGACGGUACCGCCAGAGAAAGCCCCGGCUAAUUCUGUGCCAGCAGCCGCGGUAAUACGGAGGGGGCRAGYGUUUUUCGGAAUUAYUGGGCGUAAAGGGCGCGCAGGCGGUUUGSCAAGUCAAGUGUGAAAUCCCUCGGCUUAACCGAGGAAUKGCGCUUGAAACUGCCUGGCUHGAGUUYGGGAGAGGGAAGUGGAAUUCCCGGUGUAGSGGUGAAAUGCGUAGAUAUCGGGAGGAACACCGGUGGCGAAGGCGGCUUCCUGGCCCRCMUCUGACGCUGAGGCGCGAAAGCSUGGGGAGCAAACMGGAUUAGAUACCCUGGUAGUCCA